AGACAUGUUUUUCACAUUCCAUCAAUGUGCCAAUUUGAAAACUCGCUUCGCUUUCACUUUGUCAAAACUAGACUCAGCUGUUCCGUGACUGAGGGGCGUUCUUCGUCUCUGUCCACAAAAACGCUUCCACCGAUGGGAUCUGUCCUUAAUUUUCUACCCUCGCCAGGUUCCAAUAAUAAAUCCCUCGACUUUUCGUACCAAGUACCGAGUGUCCGGCACAUCCGUCAUAUUUUGGCAUCCUAUGAAGCAUUCAUCAAUUCUCCAAUACUCAAAUAUGGUGACUAAGGCUGGCAGGUCCCUCUGGCACGACUUCACUCUCCAAAUCCUCUCCCCGCCCUUUGGGUUGAUGGGGUUCGUUCCGAAGUUGGAAACGCGCCGUCCUUCGCUCAUUCAGUCAGUCAGUCGAAGUCUCUAUUCUGCGUUCUCUUUGCUUUUGCCAUCCGAGUCACGACUACUGGAAACCAGUGAAGGUCGCAAAGAGGCUCGAACAGUGACCGACGGAGGAAUGUCAAAAGGAUUCUACUAAAGGCCCUCAGUCAUUCAACAAACGGCGGGCUUACGAUAUCAUCCUGUCCAGGAACAAAGUGAAGAGGGAAAAUAUUUUUUUCCGGAUUUAGGAUAUCCAAAAACAUCUUAUCAACAAAGGUUCUUUGAUCGCAAAUAAGAACAAUGACGCAACAAAGGCUCGCUAUGAUUCUUUUGGCAUUGACAUUGUUGGUUCGAGUUGGAUUCACAUCUUCAUCGAUAAGCAAUCUCACUUCCAAAGAUAUUGACAGG